GGUAGCCUGGCCGAGUGGUCUAAGGCGUCAGGUUAAGGUCCUGGUCUCUUCGGAGGCGUGGGUUCGAACCCCACGGCUAUAUUCA
rnacentral:tRNA from 1 species